GGAAGUAAAAGGUAACAAGGUUUCCGUAGGUGAACCUGCGGAAGGAUCAUUAUUGUAUAACCGAGGUGCGAGGGCUGUCGCUGACCCGAAAGGUCGUGCACGCCCGAGUGCCCUCACACACAUCCAUCUCACCCCUAUGUGCACCACCGCGUGGGUCCCCCUUUGGCUUGUUCGGAGGGGGGCUUACGUUUUCACACAAACUUUGUAUGCAGUGUAGAAUGUAUUUUUUGUUUUUGCGAUCACGCAAUCAAUACAACUUUCAACAACGGAUCUCUUGGCUCCC
rnacentral:misc_RNA from 1 species